rnacentral:rRNA from 1 species
UACGGAGGGGGCUAGCGUUGUUCGGAAUUACUGGGCGUAAAGCGUGCGUAGACGGUUAUUUAAGUCGGAUGUGAAAGCCCCGGGCUCAACCUGGGAAUUGCAUUCGAGACUGAAUAGCUAGGGUGCGGUAGAGGGAAGCGGAAUUUCCGGUGUAGCGGUGAAAAUGCGUAGAGAUCGGGAGGAACAUCCGUGGCGAAGGCGACUACCUGGACCAGCACUGACACUGAGGCACGAAAGCGUGGGGAGCAAACAGG